rnacentral:rRNA from 1 species
AUUGAACGCUGGCGGCAUGCUUUACACAUGCCAGUCGAACGGCAGCGCGGGGCAACCUGGCGGCGAGUGGCGCACGGGUGAGUAAUACAUCGGAACGUACCCAGAAGUGGGGGAUAACGUAGCGAAAGUUACGCUAAUACCGCAUACGUUCUACGGAAGAAAGUGGGGGACCUUCGGGCCUCAUGCUUUUGGAGCGGCCGAUGUCUGAUUAGCUAGUUGGUGAGGUAAAGGCUCACCAAGGCGACGAUCAGUAGCUGGUCUGAGAGGACGACCAGCCACACUGGGACUGAGACACGGCCCAGACUCCUACGGGAGGCAGCAGUGGGGAAUUUUGGACAAUGGGCGCAAGCCUGAUCCAGCAAUGCCGCGUGAGUGAAGAAGGCCUUCGGGUUGUAAAGCUCUUUUGUCAGGGAAGAAACGGCUGAGGAUAAUACCUUCGGCUAAUGACGGUACCUGAAGAAUAAGCACCGGCUAACUACGUG